rnacentral:rRNA from 1 species
GUGGGGAAUAUUGGGCAAUGGGGGAAACCCUGACCCAGCGACGCCGCGUGAGGGAAGACGGCCUUCGGGUUGUAAACCUCUUUUGUACGGGAAGAAGGAAGUGACGGUACUGUACGAAUAAGUCCCGGCUAACUACGUGCCAGCAGCCGCGGUAAUACGUAGGGGACGAGCGUUGUCCGGAAUUACUGGGCGUAAAGGGCGCGCAGGCUGUGCUGCAAGUCAGCUGUGAAAUGUCUGGGCUUAACCCGGGCAUGCGGUAGAGACUGCAGUGCUGGAGUGCUGUAGAGGCAAGUGGAAUUCCCAGUGUAGCGGUGAAAUGCGUAGAUAUUGGGAAGAACACCGGUGGCGAAGGCGACUUGCUGGGCAGCAACUGACGCUGAGGCGCGAAAGCCAGGGGAGCAAACGGGAUUAGAUACCCUAGUAGUCC